rnacentral:rRNA from 1 species
GACGAACGCUGGCGGCGUGCUUAACACAUGCAAGUCGAACGGAAAGGCCCUGCUUUUGUGGGGUGCUCGAGUGGCGAACGGGUGAGUAACACGUGGGUAACCUGCCCUUGACUUUGGGAUAACUUCAGGAAACUGGGGCUAAUACCGGAUAGGAGCUCCUGCUGCACGGUGGGGGUUGGAAAGUUUCGGCGGUUGGGGAUGGACUCGCGGCUUAUCAGCUUGUUGGUGGGGUAGUGGCUUACCAAGGCUUUGACGGGUAGCCGGCCUGAGAGGGUGACCGGCCACAUUGGGACUGAGAUACGGCCCGGACUCCUACGGGAGGCAGCAGUGGGGAAUAUUGCACAAUGGGCGGAAGCCUGAUGCAGCAACGCCGCGUGCGGGAUGACGGCCUUCGGGUUGUAAACCGCUUUCGCCUGUGACGAAGCGUGAGUGACGGUAAUGGGUAAAGAAGCACCGGCUAACUACGUG